UCCAGACUCCUACGGGAGGCAGCAGUGAGGAAUAUUGGUCAAUGGGCGCGAGCCUGAACCAGCCAAGUCGCGUGAGGGAAGACGGUCCUAUGGAUUGUAAACCUCUUUUGUCGGGGAGCAAAAGACGCCACGCGUGGCGUUCCGAGAGUACCCGAAGAAAAAGCAUCGGCUAACUCCGUGCCAGCAGCCGCGGUAAUACGGAGGAUGCGAGCGUUAUCCGGAUUUAUUGGGUUUAAAGGGUGCGUAGGCGGUCCGUUAAGUCAGCGGUAAAAUUGCGGGGCUCACCCCCUUCGAGCCGUUGAAACUGCUCUUCUAGAGUGGGCGAGAAGUAUGCGGAAUGCGUGGUGUAGCGGUGAAAUGCAUAGAUAUCACGCAGAACUCCGAUUGCGAAGGCAGCAUACCGGCGCCCAACUGACGCUCAUGCACGAAAGCGUGGGUAUCGAACAGGAUUAGAUACCCCUGUA
rnacentral:rRNA from 1 species